GACGAACGCUGGCGGCGUGCCUAAUACAUGCAAGUAGAACGCAGUUGCGAACGGGUGAGUAACGCGUAGGUAACUGCCUCAUCGCGGGCAAUAACUGUUGGAAACGCUAGCUAAUACCGCAUACUUUGCGGUUCACCUGUGUUUUAUUCGCUAGUUGGUAAGGUAAAGGCUCACCACGGCGACGAUCCCUCGCUGGCCUGAGAGGAUGAUCGGCCACACUGGAACUGAGACACGGUCCAGACUCCUACGGGAGGCAGCAGUGGGGAAUAUUGCGCAAUGGGCGCAAGCCUGAUGCAGCAAUGCCGCGUGUAUGAAGAAGGUCUUCGGAUUGUAAAGCUCUGUUAGCGGAGAGGCGUUACCCGAAGAAGAAGCAACGGCUAACUACGUGCCAGCAGCCGCGGUAAUUC
rnacentral:rRNA from 1 species